AGCAGCCGCGGUAAUUCCAGCUCCAAUAGCGUAUAUUAAAGUUGUUGCAGUUAAAAAGCUCGUAGUUGAAUUUCGGGGUUCUACCGUUGGUCGGGCUAUUGUCUGUACUGGCGUGUAGAAUUUCUACCUUCUGGGGAACUAUCACGUUAUUAAUUUAGCGUGGUAGGAAACCAGGACCUUUACCUUGAAAAAAUUAGAGUGUUCAAAGCAGGCUUAUGUCUGAAUACAUUAGCAUGGAAUAAUAAAAUAGGACGGUGGUCCUGUUUUGUUGGUUUCUGAAUCACCGUAAUGAUUAAUAGGGAUAGUUGGGGGCAUUAGUAUUCAAUUGUCAGAGUGAAAAUUCUUGGAUUUAUUGAAGACUAACUACUGCGAAAGCAUUUGCCAAGGAUGUUUUCAUUAAUCAAGAACGAAAGUUAGGGGAAUCGAAGACGAUCAGAUACCGUCGUAGUCUUAACCAUAAACUAUGCCGACUAGGGAUCGGAUGAUGUUAAUUUUUUAANGUACUCAUUCGGCGCCUUAC
rnacentral:rRNA from 1 species